CCUACGGGAGGCAGCAGUGGGGAAUAUUGCGCAAUGGGCGAAAGCCUGACGCAGCGACGCCGCGUGAGGGAUGAAGGCCUUCGGAUCGUAAACCUCUGUCAGCAGGGAAGAACGGUCACUGUGCUAAUCAGCAGUGAAUUGACGGUAUCUGCAAAGGAAGCCACGGCUAACUCCGUCCCAGCAGCCGCGGUAAUACGGAGGGUGCGAGCGUUAAUCGGAUUUACUGGGCGUAAAGCGCGAGUAGGCGGUAUGUCAAGUCAAGUGUGAAAGCCCCGCGCUCAACGUGGGAAGUGCCUUUGAAACUGGCAAACUGGAGUGUGGGAGAGGAUAGUGGAAUUCCAGGUGUAGGAGUGAAAUGCGUAGAUAUCUGGAGGAACAUCAGUGGCGAAGGCGACUAUCUGGCACAUAACUGACGCUGAGGAGCGAAAGCGUGGGUAGCAAACAGGAUUAGAUACCCGUGUAGUC
rnacentral:rRNA from 1 species